rnacentral:rRNA from 1 species
GAUUUCUGGCUUGAAACAUUUUGCCGGCCACGGUUUCGUGUGUUAGUGCUUGAUGUUCUGGCCAUCCUUCCAAUUGCUAUUCACCUUUCUUCAUUGAUUGGUGAGUGGUAUUGGAUCUUUUACUUUGAAAAAAUUAGAGUGUUUCAGGCAGGCUUGUUGCUAUGAAUACAUUAGCAUGGAAUAAUGAGUUAGGACUUCGGUUCUAUUUUGUUGGUUUCUAGGACUGAAGUAAUGAUUGAUAGGGAUAGUUGGGGGUGCUAGUAUUCACUGGCCAGAGGUGAAAUUCUUGGAUUCAGUGAAGACUAACUUAUGCGAAAGCAUU